UGCCCUGUGGCCUAAUGGAUAAGGCGUCAGCCUCCUAAGUUGAAGACUGCAGGUUCGAGUCCUUCCAGGGUCG
rnacentral:tRNA from 1 species